rnacentral:rRNA from 1 species
CCCUUCAGAGGGGGACAACAGUUGGAAACGACUGCUAAUACCGCAUACGAUCCAAUCUCGGCAUCGAGACUGGAUGAAAGGUGGCCUCUAUUUAUAAGCUAUCGCUGAAGGAGGGGAUUGCGUCUGAUUAGCUAGUUGGAGGGGUAACGGCCCACCAAGGCGAUGAUCAGUAGCCGGUCUGAGAGGAUGAACGGCCACAUUGGGACUGAGACACGGCCCAG